UAGGGAAUCUUCGGCAAUGGACGAAAGUCUGACCGAGCAACGCCGCGUGAGUGAAGAAGGUUUUCGGAUCGUAAAACUCUGUUGUUAGAGAAGAACAAGGACGUUAGUAACUGAACGUCCCCUGACGGUAUCUAACCAGAAAGCCACGGCUAACUACGUGCCAGCAGCCGCGGUAAUACGUAGGUGGCAAGCGUUGUCCGGAUUUAUUGGGCGUAAAGCGAGCGCAGGCGGUUUCUUAAGUCUGAUGUGAAAGCCCCCGGCUCAACCGGGGAGGGUCAUUGGAAACUGGGAGACAUGAGUGCAGAAGAGGGGAGUGGAAUUCCAUGUGUAGCGGUGAAAUGCGUAGAGAUAUGGAGGAACACCAGUGGCGAAGGCGGCUCGCUGGUCUGUAACUGACGCUGAGGCUCGAAAGCGUGGGGAGCAAACAGG
rnacentral:rRNA from 1 species